rnacentral:rRNA from 1 species
GAGAGUUUGAUCCUGGCUCAGGACGAACGCUGGCGGCGUGCCUAAUACAUGCAAGUCGAGCGGACAGAUGGGAGCUUGCUCCCUGAUGUUAGCGGCGGACGGGUGAGUAACACGUGGGUAACCUGCCUGUAAGACUGGGAUAACUCCGGGAAACCGGGGCUAAUACCGGAUGGUUGUUUGAACCGCAUGGUUCAGACAUAAAAGGUGGCUUCGGCUACCACUUACAGAUGGACCCGCGGCGCAUUAGCUAGUUGGUGGGGUAACGGCUCACCAAGGCGACGAUGCGUAGCCGACCUGAGAGGGUGAUCGGCCACACUGGGACUGAGACACGGCCCAGACUCCUACGGGAGGCAGCAG